rnacentral:rRNA from 1 species
CAAGCAAGGAGAUAGCUGGUUCUCCCCUAAAACUAUUUAGGUAGUGACUCGUGUAUAACUCAUUGUGGUAAAGCACUGUUUCGACAAUGGGGGUUUUACGACCUUACUGACUCGAUUCAAACUCAGAAUACGAUGAAGUUCGAUCACGGGAGACACACUGCGGGUGCUAAGGUCCGCAGUGGAAAGGGAAACCGCCCAGACCGCCAACGAAGGUCCCAAAGUCAUAGCUAAGUGGGAAACGAAGUGGGAAGGCCC